UAUAUCGUAGUAAAGAACUGGUCAGCACUCCUAUGUCUCGGACAAUUACGGCGACGAAGGAAGAAUUCUCCUCUUCUUGUCAUCCACAAUACCCCAAGGAUAGAAAUGGAGCGAUCUCAGAUCUGGUUUGCUCUCAGAUGCCUAAUCCUAGCUCUGCUCCUGUCUUGGGCUGUGGCCGAUGACAACGUCUUUGUCCUCAGCCAACUUCGAGAAGGAGGUUGGCCAACGUCUUCGUCCUCAGGUUUCCUCUCGAAUGCCUAAUCCUAGCUCUGCUCCUCUCCUAGGCUGUGGCCGAUGACAAUGUCUUCGUCCUCACGGAGGCCAACUUCGAGAAGGAGGUCGGCCAACGUCUUCGUCCUCAGGUGCGGCCAUUGUAAGAAGCUUGCCCCGAGUAUGAAAAGUUUGGCUCAAGGUUUAAGAAGGCAAUGUCUGUUUUGAUUGGGAAGGUUAGUCUUAUUCUAAUUGUAAUGGUAAAUGGAUUUAGGAUGUUUGCUAAAUGCUCUAGUUUUUAAUUAGUUCAAUUCGGAACUUGGAAUUUGAAAUUUCUUGGGUUUGGUAUUGUCGGAGAUAUUACAUUUUUUUUAUUAACUAUUUGUGCAAUUUUUCAUGGUUUUACCCCUCUUAGAGGGCCAAAGUAAUAAAUUACAUUGCUUCCAAUUCUUAUUUAUUUCUUAUUUUUCUUUUAUUUUUAAAGUUAAAGCAUUAUUAAUUGGAAUUCUGAGAAAAAAUUUCUGAUGAUUAACAUCAAAGUGAUGUUGCAAGGACAAUUUCUGAUGAUUAGAAUGCCUCCCAUUAUUCAAAAUGAAAUUUCUGAAUGAUGAUCUUACUAUAUAUUUUCUAUGACAAAUGCCCUGAAGUUCUCUGUGAUUCUUGUUCAUUGUCAAAAUAAGAUAAUUGUUUUGCUAUAUGACUUGAAAUUUGAUAAAAUUAUUAGUGCCAUGAAAUGGAGAUAAUUUAGGUAUCUCAGAUAGUUAUCAUAGUCAGAACAACAAAUUGUACGUUUAUCUUGUUCAGGCUAGUAUAUUAACUGUCUCCGUGUUUCAAGUAUGGAGUAGGUGGUUAUCGUACAUUGAAGUUUUUCCCCAAUAGCAGCAAAGCUGGUGAAGACUAUAAGGGUGGAUGCGAUUUAGAUGACUUUGUUGAAUUUAUUAAUGACAAGUGUGGAACCGAUCGUGAUGCAAAAGGUCAACUUCCAUCACUGGUUAUGGGGUGAUAGAUUAUGAAGGAUGAUGUUUACGAGUUUUGUUAAUCAAUUUUUUUAAAACAAGUGGAGCUUUAGUGAAAGAAUUUAUGAGUGCCUCUAACGAUGAACGGAAGGCAAUUUUAUGCCGGAUGGAAGAGGAAGUCAAAAAGCUAACAGGUUAUUCUGCAAGGCACUUCUUUUUUUUCUUGAGCUAUUGAAACGGUAAAUGUUUUAUCAGCUCGGUUACUUUGUGGUCUGUUACUUCUUUUAUUGUCGUUUCUUUUGUGUCUCACAUACGCACUUAUAAUAGUUCUGAUUGAUGACAAAAUUCAUGUAUUAUCUAGUCUUUUAUUGUUAAUUAUAAUGGCAAAAUAUAUUGGGCUGACAGUCCACAAGUUCAGCUCGUAAUGGGUUUUAACAACCAACAACCGAUCUAUUUGAAUAUAUUCUUAAUCAUCCAUGUAGUAUUCUCAUCUCAGCUUAAAAUAGAUAUAUUUGAAUAUUGUGCAUAGUGACGUAAUCCUUUUAUUCUAGUUAUUUUUUUGAGAUUGCUGCUUAGGUUUUGAACAAAAAAUUGAGAUUUAUAUAUUCAUUAUUCUUAUAGUGGAUUAUCUCUAGUUUACCUAUGGUUUUUACCCUUCACAUUAGAGAGAUUUUUUACGUAAAUCUUAGUGUUAUAUUUGAUUGUAAUCUCAUUUAAUUUCGUUACGUAUUAUGAUAUGUUAGUAUUUGUUCAUAUAUAAAAGUUUAUUCUUUUUUAUAUCCCAUCAAAAUAUACCAUCAUAGACUCUGAUUAAUAAAAGAGUUCUUAGCACUUUUUCUUCACUGUCGUUAGUUGCAUCUCCUACCCUUUUACACUUAUUUUUCAUUAUUAUGGUACCAAUACUUGUAGUCGAGAUUUAGAUUUUGUAUGGUAGCCACCAACUUGUUAAAGCUUUAUUGGAGUUUUCUGAUUGUCAUAUACCAUUCAUUAUGUGUUAAAAACUUUUUUCUUUUGCUCUUUUUAACAUUCUGUAAUUAUA